GCCUUCGUGGUGUAACGGUAGCACACUCGGUGUGCAUUCCAGAGAUCCAGGUUCGAGUCCUGACGAUGUUA
rnacentral:tRNA from 1 species